UACGGAGGGUGCAAACGUUGUUCGGAAUCAUUGGGCGUAAAGCGCACGCAGGCGGUCGUGAAGGUCGGAUGUGAAAUCCCGGGGCUCAACCCCGGAAUUGCGUUCGAAACCGUGCGACUGGAGUCUCGGAGGGAGAAGGGGAAUUCCUGGUGUAGGGGUGAAAUCCGUAGAUAUCAGGAGGAACACCGGCGGCGAAAGCGCCUUCUUGGCCGUAGACUGACGCUGAGGUGCGAAAGCGUGGGGAGCAAACAGG
rnacentral:rRNA from 1 species